UGGUGGAGCGAUUUGUCUGGUUAAUUCCGAUAACGAACGAGACUCUAGCCUGCUAAAUAGUCUGCAGAUUGCAUUGUCUGCAGCACUUCUUAGAGGGACAGGCGGCAUUUAGCCGCACGAAAAUGAGCAAUAACA
rnacentral:rRNA from 1 species